CCUACGGGAGGCAGCAGGGGGGAAUAUUGCACAAUGGGGGAAACCCUGAUGCAGCGACGCCGCGUGAGUGAAGAAGUAUUUCGGUACGUAAAGCUCUAUCAGCAGGGAAGACAAUGACGGUACCUGACUAAGAAGCCCCGGCUAAAUACGUGCCAGCAGCCGCUGUAAUACGUAGGGGGCAAGCGUUAUCCGGAUUUACUGGGUGUAAAGGGAGCGUAGACGGCAGCGCAAGUCUGGAGUGAAAUCGCAUGGCUUAACCAUGGAACUGCUUUGGAAACUGUGCAGCUAGAGUGCAGGAGAGGUAAGCGGAAGUCCUAGUGUAGCGGUGAAAUGCGUAGAUAUUAGGAGGAACACCAGUGGCGAAGGCGGCUUACUGGACUGUAACUGACGUUGAGGCUCGAAAGCGUGGGGAGCAAACAGGAUUAGAUACCCUGGUAGUC
rnacentral:rRNA from 1 species